rnacentral:rRNA from 1 species
GACGAACGCUGGCGGCGUGCUUAACACAUGCAAGUCGAACGGAAAGGCCUGCUUUCCCUUGUGGAUUGCGGGUACUCGAGUGGCGAACGGGUGAGUAACACGUGAGUGAUCUGCCCCCAACUUGGGUAUAAGCCUGGGAAACUGGGUCUAAUUCCCGAUAGGACUGCAGGGUGGUGCCUAUGGUGGAAAACGAUUUUCUAGUGGUUGGGGAUGAGCUCGCGGCCUAUCAGCUUGUUGGUGGGGUAAUGGCCUACCAAGGCGGCGACGGGUAGCCGGCCUGAGAGGGUGGACGGCCACAUUGGGACUGAGAUACGGCCCAGACUCCUACGGGAGGCAGCAGUGGGGAAUAUUGCACAAGGGGCGGAAGCCUGAUGCAGCGACGCCGCGUGGGGGAUGACGGCCUUCGGGUGGUAAACUCCUUUCGACCGCGAGGAAGCCACCUGGUUGGAAGGGUGGUGACGGUAGUGGUAGAAGAAGCACCGGCUAACUACGUG